GGUACCCACGUGGGCCAG
rnacentral:misc_RNA from 1 species